rnacentral:rRNA from 1 species
GGCGGCGUGCUUAACACAUGCAAGUCGAACGAUGACGCCCUUCGGGGUGGAUUAGUGGCGAACGGGUGAGUAACACGUGGGCAAUCUGCCCUUCACUCUGGGACAAGCCCUGGAAACGGGGUCUAAUACCGGAUAUCACUCCUGCAGGCAUCUGCGGGGGUCGAAAGCUCCGGCGGUGAAGGAUGAGCGGCGCGGCCUAUCAGCUUGUUGGUGAGGUAAUGGCUCACCAAGGCGACGACGGGUAGCCGGCCUGAGAGGGCGACCGGCCACACUGGGACUGAGACACGGCUCAGACUCCUACGGGAGGCAGCAGUGGGGAAUAUUGCACAAUGGGCGAAAGCCUGAUGCAGCGACGCCGCGUGAGGGAUGACGGCCUUCGGGUUGUAAACCUCUUUCAGCAGGGAAGAAGCGAGAGUGACGGUACCUGCAGAAGAAGCGCCGGCUAACUACGUGCCAGCAGCCGCGGUAUUACGUAGGGCGCAAGCGUUGUCCGGAAUUAUUGGGCGUAAAGAGCUCGUAGGCGGCUUGUCGCGUCGGAUGUGAUAGCCCGGGGCUUAACCCCGGGUCUGCAUUCGAUACGGGCAGGCUAGAGUUCGGUAGGGGAGAUCGGAAUUCCUGGUGUAGCGGUGAAAUGCGCAGAUAUCAGGAGGAACACCGGUGGGGAAGGCGGAUCUCUGGGCCGAUACUGACGCUGAGGAGCGUCUCUUCGAGCGGUAGAGUAGUUGCUUCUCUUGACAGCGUCGGACGGCGUGAGUAAUGCCUAUCUAAUCUGCCUGGUAGCGGGGGAUAACGUUCGUUAACGGACGCUACAUACCGCAUACGUCCUACGCGAUAAAGCAGGUGACUUCGGCCCUUGCGCA